GAUGAACGCUAGCGGGAGGCUUAACACAUGCAAGUCGAGGGGCAGCACGAUGUAGCAAUACGUUGGUGGCGACCGGCGCACGGGUGCGUAACGCGUAUGCAACCUACCCUGUACUGGGGGAUAGCCCGGAGAAAUUCGGAUUAAGACCCCAUAGUAUAUAUCAUUCGCAUGUUUGGUAUAUUAAAGGUUACGGUACAGGAUUGGCAUGCGUCCUAUUAGCUAGAUGGUGAGGUAACGGCUCACCAUGGCGACGAUAGGUAGGGGGCCUGAGAGGGUGGUCCCCCACACUGGUACUGAGACACGGACCAGACUCCUACGGGAGGCAGCAGUGAGGAAUAUUGGUCAAUGGGCGCAAGCCUGAACCAGCCAUGCCGCGUGCAGGAAGAAGGUCCUAUGGAUUGUAAACUGCUUUUAUUUGGGAAUAAACCUCUUUACGUGUAGAGAGCUGAAGGUACCAAAUGAAUAAGCACCGGCUAACUCCGUGCCAGCCGCCGCCGUAAAAC
rnacentral:rRNA from 1 species